UUUGUGAUGUGUGCAUUCAUCUCACAGAGUUGAAACAGUCUUUUUGCUGAGCAGUUUGAAAACUGUCUAUUUGUAGAAUCUGCAAAAGGAUAUUUAUGAGUGCUUUGAGGCCUAUGGUGAGAAAGGAAAUAUCUUUACAUAAAAACUGGACAGAAGAUUUUUGAGAAACCUCUUUGUGAUGUGUGCAUUUAUCUCACAGAGUUGAACCAUUCUUUUGAUUGAGCAGUUUGUAAACAGACUUUUUGUAGAAUCUGCAAAGGGAUAUUUGUCAGCUGUAUGAGGCCUAUGGUGAAAAAGGAAAUAUCUUCAAUAAAAACUAUAAAGAAUGUUUCUGAGAAGCUGUUUUGCAAGAUGUGCACUCAUCUCAGAGAGAUAAAAGUUUCUAUUCUGUGAUGAGUCUGGAAACUCUGUUCUUGUAAAAUCUGCAAAGGGAUAUUUGUGAGUGGCUUUAGGCCUAUGGUGAAAAAGGAAAUAUCUUCACCUAAAAACGAGACAGAAGCAUUCUGAGAAACUUCUUUGUGAUAUGUGCAUUCAUCUCACAGAGUUGAACCACUCUUUUGAUUGAGAAGUUUGGAAACAGUCUUUUUGUAGAAUAUGCAAUUGGAUAUUUGGAGCGCUUUGAGGCCUAUGGUGAAAAAGGAAAUAUCUUCACAUAAAAACUACACAGAAGCAUUCUGAGAAACUUCUUUGUGAUGUAUGCAUUCAUAUCAUGCAGUUGAACCUUUCUUAUGAUUGAGCAGUUUCAAAGCAGUCCUUUUGUAGAAUAUGCAAAGGGAUAUUUGUGAGCCCAUUGGGGCCUAUGGUGAAUUAGGAAAUAUCUUCACAUAAAAACUAGUCAGAAGAUUUCUGAGAAACUUCCUUGUGAUGUGUGAUUUCAUCUCACAGAGAUGAAACUUUCUUUUGAUUGAGCAGUUUGGAAACAUACUUUUUGUAGAAUCUGCAAAUGGAUAUUUAGAGCGCUUUGAGAACUAUGGUGAAAAAGGAAAUAUCUUCACAUAAAAACUAGAAAGCAACAUUCUAUGAAACUUCUUUGUGAUGUGUGCUUUCAUCUCACAGAGUUGAACCUUUCUAUUCAUUGACCAGUUUGGAAACCAUCUUUUUGUAGAAUCUGCAAAUGGAUAUUUGGAGCAUUUUGAGGCCUUGGUGAGAAUGGAAAUAUCUUCACAUAAAAACUAGAUAGAAGCAUUCUGAGAAACUUCUUGGUGACGUGUGCAUUUAUCACACAGAGUUAUACCUUUCUUUUGAUUGAACACUUUGGAAACAGUCUUUUUGUAGUAUCUGUAGAGGGAUGUUUGCGAGCAGUUUGAGGCCUAUGGUGAAAAAGGAAAUAUCUUCACAUAAAAACUAGACAGAAGGUUUCUAAGAAACUUAUUUGAGAUGUGUGCUUCCAUCUCACAUAGUUGAACAUUUGAUUGGGCAGUUUGGAAACACUCUUUUUGUAGAAUCUGCAAAUGGAUAUUUGGAGCACUUUGAGGCCUAUGGUAAAAAAGGAAAUAUCAUCACAAAAAAUUAGACGGAAACAUUCUGAGAAACUUCUUUGUGACGUUGGCAUCCAUCUCACACAGUUGAACAUUUCUUUUAUUGAAGAUUUGGAAACAGUCUUUUUGUAAAAUCUACAAAGGGAUAAUUGUGAACCCUUUGAGGCCUAUGGUGAAGUAGGAAAUAUCUUCACAUAAAAACUACACAGAAACAUUCUGAGAAACUUUUUUGUGAUGGGUGCAUUCAACUCACAGAGUUGAAGCUUUCUUUUGCUAGAGCAGUUUGGAAACAGUCCUAUUGUAGAAUCCCCAAAGGGAUAUUUCUGAGCCCAUUGAGGCCUUUGGUGAUAUAGGAAAUACCUUCACAUAAAAGCUAGACAGAAGCUUUCUGAGAAACUUCUUUUCAAUGGGUGCUUUCAUCUCAAAGAGUUGAGUGUUUCUUUUGACUGAGAAGUUUGGAAACACUCUUUGCAUAAUCUGCAAAUGGAUAAUUGGAGCAUUUUGAGGCCUAUGGUGAAAAAGGAAAUAUCUUCACAUAACAACUAAACAGAAGCUUUCUGAGAAACUACUUUGUAAUGCGUGCAUUCAUCUCACAGAGUUGAAACUUUCUUUUGAUUGAGCCGUUUGUAAACAGUCUUUUUGUAUAAUCUGCAAAUGGAUAUUUGGAGUGCUUUGAGGCCUAUAGUGAAAAAAGAAAUAUCUUCACAAAAAAACUAGAAAGAAACAUUCUGAGAAACUUCUUUGUGAUAUGUGCUUUCAUCUCACAGAGUCGAACCUUUCUUUUCAUUGAGCAGUUUGGAAACAGACUUUUUAUAGAAUCUGGAAAUGCAUAUUCGGAGUGCUUUGAGGCCUAUGGUGAAAAAGGAAAUAUCUUCAGAUAAACACUAAACAGAAGCUUUCUGAGAAACUUCUUUGUGAUGUGUGCAUUCAUAUCACAGAGCUGAAACUUUCUUUUGAUUUAGCAAUUUGGCGAAAGUGGAGUUAUAUUUGUGAGCGGUUUAAGGCCUAUGGUGCAAAAGGAAAUACCUUCACAUAAAAAGUAGACAGAAGCUUUCUGAGAAACUUCUUUGUGAUGUGUGCUUUCGUCUCACAGAGUUGAGCCUUUCUUUUGAUUGACCAGUUUGGAAACAUUCUUUUUGUAGAAUCUGCAAAUGGAUAUUUGGAGAGAUUUGAGGCCUAUGGUGAAAAAGGAAAUAUCUUCACAUAAAAACUAGACAGAAGAAUUCUGAGAAACUUCUUUGUGAUGAGUCCAUUCAUCUCACAGAGUUGAAACAUUUUUUGAUGGACCAGUUUGGAAAUAGUCUUUUUGUAGUAUCUGCAGAGGGAUAUUUUUGAGCUGUUUAAAGACUAUGGUGAAAAAGAAAAUAUCUUCACUUAAGAACUAGACAGAAGCAUUCUGAGAAACUUCUUUGUGAUGUGUGCAUUCAUCUCACAAUGUUGAACCUUUCUUUUGAUUGAGCAGUUUGGAAACAGAACUUUUGUAGAAUCUGUAAUGGGAUAUUUGUAAGCCCAUUGAUUCCUAUGGUGAAAUAGGAAUUAUCUUGAGAUAAAAACUAGACAGAAGAUUUCUGAGAAACUUCUUUGUGAUGUGUGCUUUCAUCUCACAGAGUUGAAGAUUUUUUUUGAUUGAGCAGUUUGGAAACAGUCUUUUUGUAUAAUCUGCAAAUGGAUAUUUGGAGCACUUUGUGGCCUAAGGUGAAAAUGGAAAUAUCUUCACAUAAAACCUAGACAGAAGAAUUCUGAGAAACUUCUUUGUGAUGUGUGCAUUCAUCUCAGAGAGGUGAACUUUUCUUUUGAUGGAGCAGUUUGGAAACAGUAUUUUUUUAGUAUCUGCAGAAGGAUAUUUGUUAGCGGUUUAAGGCCUAUGGUGAAAAAGUAAAUAUCUUCACAUAAAAACUAGAAAGAAGCUUUCUGAGAAACCUCUUUGUGAUGUGUGCAUUCAUCUCACAGUGUUGAAACUUUAUUUUGCUUGAGCAGUUUAGAAACAGUCUUUUUCUGCAAUCUGCAAAGGUAUAUUUCUGAGCCAUUUGAGGUCUAUGGUGAAAAAGAAAUAUCUUCACAUUUAAACUAGACAGAAGGAUUCUGAGGAACUUCUUUGUGAUGUCUCCAUUCAUUUGACAGAAUUGAACGUUUCUUUUCAUUCAGAAGUUCGGCAAUGGUAUUUUUGUAGAAUCUGCAAAGGGAUAUUUGUGAGCCAUUUGAAGCCUAUAGUGAAAUAGUAAAUAUCUUCACAUAAAAACUAGACAGAAUAAUUCUGAGAAACUUCAUUCUAAUGUGUGCAUUCACCUCACAGAAUUUAGCCUUUCUUCUGAUUGAGCAGUAUGGAAAUGGUCCUCUUUUAGAAUCUGCAAAGGGGUAUUUCUUAGCCCUUUGAGGCCUAUGGUGAAACUGGAAAUAUCUUCACAUGAAAACUAGACCGAAGCUUUCUGAGAAACUUCUUUGAGAUGUGUGCUUUCAUCUCACAGAGUUAAACCUUUCUUUUGAUUGAGCAGUUUGGAAACACUCUUUUUGUGAAAUGUGUAAGUGGAUAUUAGGAGUGCUUUGAGGCCAAUGGUGACAAAGGAAAUAUCUUCACAUAAAAACUAAACAGAAGUUUUCUGAGAAACUACUUUUUGAUGUGUCCAUUAUCUAACAGAGUUGAAACUUUCUUUUUAUAGAGCGGUUUGGAUACAGUCUUUUUGUAGAAUCUGCAAAAAAUAUUUGUGAGCACUUUAUUGCCUAUGGUGAAAUAGGAAUUUUCUUCACAUAUAAACUAGACAGAAGCAUUCUGAGAAACUUCUUUGUGAUGUGUGCAUUCAUCUCACAGAGUUGAAACUUUCUUUGGAUUGAGCAGUUUGGAAACAGUCCUUUUGUAGAAUCUGCAAAGGGAUAUUUCUGAGCCCAUUGAGUACUAUGGUGAAAUGUGAAAUAUCUUCACAUAAAAACUAGACAGAAGCUUUCUAAGAAACUUGUUUGUGAUGUAUGCUUUCAUCUCACAGAAUUGAAACUUUCUUUUAAUUGAGGAGUUUGGAAACACUCUUUUUCUAGAAUCUGCAAAUGGAUAUUUGGAGCGCUUUGAGGCCCAUGGUGGAAAAUGAAAUAUCUUCACAUAGAAACUAAAUAGAAGUUUUCUGAGAAACUUCCUUGUGAUGUGUGCAUUCAUCUCACAGAGUUGAACCUUUCUUUUGAUUGAGCAGGUUGGAAAGAGGCUUAUUGUACAAUCUGCAAAGGGAUAAUUCUGAUACAUUUGAGGCCUAUGGUGAAAGAGAAAUAUCUUCACGUAAAAACUAGACAGAGUCAGUCCGAAAAAUUUCUUUCUGAUGUGUCCAUUCAUCUCACAGAGUUGAACGUUUCUUUUGAUUAAGCAGUUUGGAAACAGUCUUUUUGUAGAACCUUCAAAGGCAUAUUUGUGAGCCCUUUAUGGCCUCAGGUGAAAUAGGAAAUAUCUUCACAUACAAACUAGAGAGAAGCUGUCUGAGUAACUUUUUUGUGAUGUGUGCUUUCAUCUCAGAGAUCUAAAAAUUUGUUCUGAUUGAUCAGUUUGGAAACAGUUUUUUUGUAGAAUCUGCCAAUGGAUUGCUUUGAGGCCUAUGUUGAGAAAGGAAAUAUCUUCACAUAAAAACAAGACAGAAGAUUUAU
rnacentral:lncRNA from 10 species